ACCACCAGCCACUUCCUUGUCCACCGUCCGCCCUUUCCACAAGACAUGUCACCGCGUCUUUCCCCUCUGCCUUGCCACUUGCUCUGCAGCCGCUUUUUUCUCCUCUUGCAACCAUGACCGCUUGAUCUUCCCUCAUGCAACUGUCUCCUUUGCUCUGUGACCACCAGAUCCGCCCUUCUACAACCGUCUCUGCCGCUGGGUCUCGCCGCUGCCGCCGUUAUCACCACCGCUGCUACCAGUCCUACUCCUCCAUCUCCUACUUUGUUCUCAGCUUUGCUGCUGGUGUUUGGAAUCUUCAAAAGUCUUUCUUUUUCCCCAGAUUCUCAGAUCUAUCAUAUUGACCCCGUUUGUUUCUGCUGAAGCCUUGAUUUGAGCUUCAUUUUUAGCUGCACGUUUUGCACCUCCGGCAGAGUCGGAUGAGUUGCUGUUUGGAAGCGCCGCUUAAAAAAGAAGAAAUAUGAUAAAAGUCGCUUAGAAGUCAUUUGGAUAUCUGUUGAUUUUUAGGGUUUUAAGGAGCUUUUGUAUGAUGUUUUGCACCUCCGGCAGAGUCGGAUGAGUUGCUGUUUGGAAGCGCCGCUUAAAAAAGAAGAAAUAUGAUAAAAGUCGCUUAGAAGUCAUUUGGAUAUCUGUUGAUUUUUAGGGUUUUAAGGAGCUUUUGUAUGAUCUUUAGGGUUUUGCAUCAUGCUUUCGCUGGAUGUUUCAGCUUGUUAAUUUGAGUAGGCAUGCUUGUUCUUAAUCUUCUUAUGUAUGUGCAUUGUGUAAUGCUCUCUUGAGAUUUAUUCUCACAUGAUGUAAGCGCCGCUGGAUAACCCUUUGGGUAUCUAUUCCAAACACCAUUGACCAAAAAAAAAAAAAAUUAAAAGUCUAUGCACUGUAACGGUUUGUUUCGUUUAGAAGAAAAAAAGUGAACGAGGGAAAUGAGAAGAUCAGUAGAAACAAAGUAGUUUUUUAGGUUAUCUACGAUGACAAAAAUAAAUGAGAAAGAGAAGAGGAGAAAGGUGGAAGAGGGGGAAAAUUUUAUUUGUUCAGUUAAAAAACAGUUUUUAAUACAACGGUAAUUAUUGUGGUGAUAAAAAGGUAAAAUAGUGGCGGUUUGAGAAUUAAGAACCUCACUUUUACACACAAAAUAGAAGGAAAAAAACAGUUUGUCUCAAUUCCUACGCAAUUUGUAAAGGAGAAGUAUUAUUUAAAGCGAACUAUUUUUAAGAGAAAACAAGAAGUCGUGGGAACCAAUGAACAUAAAUAAGUAGAAAGAGAAGACUAUAUUUUGCAAGUCAUUUCAUUUUGAAAUUUAUCAGAUGAGAAAACAGGUUUUACUUUGAUUUUUUUAGUCGUUCCCACACAAGAAAUACCCAUUUUAUUGCUACCAAAAUCAAAGAGGGCUACAAACAGAAGUAAUAUUACAAAUACAUGUUAUGCUAGUCCAAAAAGAAUGGUUACUAAUACAUGCUAUGCUAGUCCAAAAUUAAAGAUGGUUAGGCAAGUCAUCAAUCCACCCACUAACCUGAUCAAUACUCCUCUGCUCACACUUGUUACAUCUUCCCAUACUGUUGUGCCGCUUCCUCUUCUCUAGCACCUUCACCUAUCCAAUAAAAAGGUGUCUUCAAAUUAAAAUCCUCCCCACUUUCAAUCAGACUUCAUACAUCUCUCAAAAUAACUUCUCCCUUUAUUUUUUGUAACUGUGCUGAGGAGACUACUGAUCAUUUAUUUGUCUCGUGCUCAUGGGUAGCUCAAGUUUGGCUUCGGUGCUAUAAUUGGUUAGGCAUUAGCACUGCCUUGCCUAGCCAUCGUUGUGCUUUCUUGCUACAACAUGCUUUUCCUAGUCUGAAUUUGAAGCAAGUUGGCCUUUGGAAGGUGGUUUGGAUGGCUGUGGUGUGGACUAUAUGGUGUAGCUAGUAGGAACAAUCUGAUUUUUAAAGCUAUCGAAACUGAAGUGGAGCGUGCUCUGGAGUUGGUGCAAAUUCGUUCAUGGUGUUGGCUUUCUGCCCGUGUUCAUGGGUUCCAAUCCUCCUUUUUUGAAUGGUGCACAAAUCCAAUUUUAUGUCUUCAGGGUAUCUAAUUGUGGGGUCUGUUUUGUAGCUAUGAUUGGACAUCCUUUUAAUAAUAGUGGCAGUCCAUCUAGCUUUAUAUUGAAGGUUUUGUUAGGUGGAGCUUUGAAGGGUUGUGAUUUUGUUGUUGGUCAAGGGGGUCUAUUGCCUUGAUACAAAUAAUUGACUUAUAAAAUAAAACCCUUUAAACAUUCGUUCAGCCCUUCCUGCUAAAAAUGGCUUUACGACCUAUUUGCCUCCCUUUCUCCAUAAACUUCAAUGAACUUCGCAAGUAUGAAGUUUCUGGUUUCAGAAACUUUGAUAAGCUACAAAUCCUCAAAUUCUGUCUUGCCUCCACUGAACCCAUCUUCCCACAAAUAGUUAACUCAUUUUGGUCAUCUUGCACCCUUUCUCCCUCGAAAGAGAUCUUCGGAGAGCUUUUUGGACAUGACAUUCUUCUCUCAAGAGAAUUGGUGGCAGAAUUAUUCGGCUGUGAUGACUAUAGGGAAGUCUUUUGCGAUGAAUCCUGGAAGAAGAGACGACCUAAGGACAACAUCUUUGAACUGGUAUACAAUGAUGAAUUCCUCACAUACCUCGAGAGAACUCAACAAAAAAAAUCUCUCCUUUGAAGGCAAAGUCCUUCACCACCUUGUCACCCGCAUCAUAUGUCCAAGAACUGAGGAUGUUGGGACUGUGACAGACAUGGAUUUGUUUGUAAUCUACUCAAUUCUGAAUGAGGAUCACAUCAAUAUCAUAGACAUUGCAUACGAUCCUUUAGUUUCUCCAGACACCUGGAACUGGCUAGAGAAAAUCCCCUCUGAGCUCUUGGGAGUCGCCUUCUUUAGAGGGAAAGACCUUCGGAUUCAUGAACCAUAAAGUGACUCAUCGGAUUCGGUUGAUAGCUCUGAAGAUGAAGUCUAUGAGUUAGUACUAGGAUAUAUUUUUUUCGAGAAACAACCCCUAGGCUCAAUGGCGGAACUAGAAAAGAAAAAUUGAGGGGACCAAAAUAAAAUAAGAUUUUAAUACACAAAAAAUAAAAAUAAAUAUUAGAGUAAUUUAUUUACAUGAAUAUUGGAAAGUUAUAACGAGUUGUAUUAAUAAUAUUGAUUUUUUUUUCUUCAUGUUUUAAAGUUUUUGGAACAAGUCUUUCACUUAAUAAAAUGGAUUCUUUUACUCUUAGUUAUCAACUUAUCAUUAAAGCCCUUAGGCCAGUAAAGCCCUCGCUUUAGGCCCCAAAUCUUUUUAGGCCCCAAUUUUUUUUAAAAAAACUAGUACAUAUUUCAAAGGAAAUUAUCCAAGAAUAGACCAAUUAAAUAACAUAUUGAGUGCCUAAAAGAAUGGAUCUAUUAAGUGCAACAUUUAUUUUUAAUGAAAUUCAAUUUAUUGUAUAUUUUGAAUUGAUAAAAAGCAAAGGAGGAGUGUGACUUUUCAUUUGAUCUCUUUGAAUUCUUCUUCUUCUACACUCUCCAAUUCUUCUUCUACCCUCUCCAAUUCUUCCUCUACCUCUUGUAUAAUGAUAUUUUUGGAUUUCUUUCCAGCAUUGAGAAAAUAAGGCAAUUUGAUAAUGAAAAGUUAAAAGAAUAUUGUCUUAAUCUUGAACUUUCAUUAAAACAUAAUGAAAACUCGGAUAUUGAUGGACACCUCUUGUAUAAUGAUAUUUUUGGAUUUCUUUCCAGCAUUGAGAAAAUAAGGCAAUUUGAUAAUGAAAAGUUAAAAGAAUAUUGUCUUAAUCUUGAACUUUCAUUAAAACAUAAUGAAAACUCGGAUAUUGAUGGACUGGAUUUAUUUACAGAAUUAAACAUCUUAAAAAAAUUAUACAUGUAGAAAUGAUACACCAAUUGACAUACUUAAUUAUGUAAAAAGAAUUGAUUAUUUCUCAAAUGCAUAUAUUGCUUAUAAAAUAAUGUUAACAAUUCCUGUAAGUGUUGCUUCUGCGAAACGUAAUUUUUCAAAAUUAAAAUUAAUAAAAUCAUAUCUAAGAUAAUAAAAAAAAGUGUCAACAAAGACUAAAUGAGUUGGUUUUAUUAUCUAUUGAUUUUUUUUUUGAAGAAAUCGAUUAUGAUAAUUUAUUAAACGAUUUUGCAUCUCAAAAAGCCCGAAAAAUAAAUUUUAUCUAAAUCAUUUAUAUAAAAAAAAAAUUUAUAAAGACUCAAUUCUUAAAGUUCGCUUUAGGCCUUAAUAUUGGUUGAGACGGCCCAACGUAUUAAAUGGAGUGACUGGAGAUUUUAAAUUUUAUUUAAUAUUAAAAUUCCACAUACGCAAUAGACAAUGCAUUGUUCUUAAUUGGAAUGCAAUGCAAUGUCGAAUGCAUUGUCAUUCCCACACAAGAGCGGAUCCCAUUACAUCCUCCUCUCAAGUGAUGCAGCAACAAUGUUGUCUCAGGCUGGGUAAAGGGAAGCCUUAAGGAUGGCUGGACGACCAGAGACAAUGGUACGGCAGCGUGACAGCGAUUGAACGAGCAGGAGAUAUUGAAGCCACCUUGCACCGCCCGGAGCACCACCGUAGUUGGAACAAGGCAACCUCUGAUGCAUUUCCUAGGUUUUUCUAAUUUUGGAUUUUUCUUCUACCAAACAUUUAUGCAGCAUUUUGUAUACUUAAAUCCUGUACAUUUCAGAUUCUAGGAAAAAUGUUCUUUGAUGAACUUUAGAAGUAGGACUUAAAACCAUCAUAGUAGCCAACUCUACUAACUUGAAAGAAUGUUCCGUUUCAUGGCAAUUGCUUACUUUUGUAAUGAGGGAACUUAUAAAGCCAACUUAUAAUUUAAGGAAAAUUCAGGUUUCUAUUUGUCUAUUACUUUGUGUAUUAUUCCUAAUCCUAAUUCAGAUUCUCAAUUGCUUUGUUUAUUCCUUUUUGCUGAAAAAUAUGUGCAGGUGUUCAGAAAGAAAGGAAACGGAGGACAUGUUGUUAAUACCAAAAUUUCAAAUUGACUCUCGAAGCUAUCUGAUGGUGCUUGCUUUUCUCAUUUUCUUUUACUAGCUUUUAUAUGAUUUUAGGUGUGCUUUUAAUGAGAAGCUUGUCGAAUCUCAGUGUUUACAAGAGCAAAUUAUUUUGUAGAAAGAUCAAAGAUGGGAGUAAGCCAUGAAUGUUUUUUUGUCUAAUCUCUCAAUUAGCUUCAACUGGAGGCAAGAACACGAACCCUAAAUCGAGUAGAAGGAGAUGAAAAAGGCAUGACUGAGGUGUAUGUCACCACCUCUAGCUACCUCCCACACCACUGCCGCACCGUGACACCACCUCCAUGCCACCCAGAACCUACCACCACCAUCAACCAGAAACCCAGAACCGACCCACCUCCACGCCACCCAAAACCUAUCACCACCACCAACCAGAAACCACCCACCAGGUUGGUGUUUCUUUUGGGUUGGGUUGGGUUGGGUUGGGGUUGGGGCUGGGGUGAGGUUGAGGGUGGGUAUCGUGGGAGAGGAGGGAGGAAGAUGAGAAGUUCAAUGAGAUCUAGGGUUAGUCAGGCUAAUCAGAACGAUGAAUAAUUAAUUAAAGAUUUUUUUUUGUUACAAUAAUUAAAAAAUUAUGUUUUAGAAUUUUUUAAUUAAAAAAUAAUUCCAAAUGUCACGUGGAAAAGCUGAGUAGGCUAAAAUUGAAGCCACUUCAACAUCAGACACAUUUUGUCCUUAAUUGAAUUAAAAAAAAAUUCUUAGGAACCCAAUUUGAUGAGAAAAUUUUACAGGCCCUGGAACUGAUUCCCUUUACAAUUUCAGGGGCCUUCUGAUAUAUUAAGCCUUAAAAAAGUUGUAAUCUGAAAACUAAAAACUAAAACAAGAAACAUUUUUUAGUUGUUCGGUUAUUUUAGUUUUAAAAACUGAAAAUUUUUAAAAACAAACAGGUUUUUAAAAUUUUCAGUUUUUAAAAAUAGAAAGCAGUUUUUAAAAACUAUAAUCAAAUAGGCCCUUAUUUUUUUUUUGGAUGGGAAACAGCUUGUGCUUCAUGAUUAUAUGAGCACAGUAUAUAUGUUGGUGAUAUAAAGUGUGUGUUCUUGAGGGCCUGUAUAUUGAAACAGCAUUAUGGUGAGCCAUUCUAAUGGUUUUUUGUAUCCCUUAAAUUCUCCUUACCACUACAGACUGAAUUUUUUCAAUGGAGGAGUUUGAAGGCUAUUAUUAAUAUUGUUAAAAGAAAAAAAAUUACUCAAAUAAAUGGAGAGUAAUAGGACAUUUUGAAAUGUAGUGAUUGUGUAAAAAAAAACGAUUAGGAAAUUGCAAUGCUAAAGGAUAUACUUUCACACUGCUAAUAGUAGCAAAUCAGCCUUUUUUAUUUUUUUGGUUACACAAAUCAGCCAUUUUGAUUUGAGAUUAUUAUAUCCUUUGGAAUUGGAAAUUGAAUUUUUUUAGAUGGUAUAUAUCAUAUCUAAUGAGUAAUAUCGAAUUAUAUAUUACUAAUUUAUUAUAUCUAUUAUCACAUACUUUAAAUCAUUACCUUAAAAUGCAAUAUCUAGUUCACUGCACUAGUUCGCUGCACUUGAUUUUUAAACCUUUGCCUUAUUGUAGCUGUGAUUGUAAGUUCUUACCUUGUGCUGUAAGAAAACUAUAACUGUGUAAUUAUGUUUUAAAUUUAUUUGUGUGCUUUACCUGCACUUAAAGUGAACAACAUAGGGUAUCUUUGUGGCAUCAUCACUCAUUUCGUUUCAACCACUAUUCGAACAAUAAAGUGGUAUCUUUGCUCAACUUCAUCAUAAAAUAAACAAUGGAAUGGUAUUUUGAUUUCCAUUUUGUCCACUUCAUGCUGUUAUAGUUCAUUCUGUUCAGUUCCAUCAUCUUCCACCUAUCAAAAUAUAACCUUUAGUGAUGAUCGUUAUAGCAUAUCCAGACAAUUCCAAAACUCAAACAACUCACAGAAGCUUCUAUGAAGGGUUUCUAAACAUGCAUAAAUCAACUUCAAAUCUAAAUUGGCUUCAUUAUCUAUCGAUGGUAAAACAUUUUAGACUAGUCUUCGAUUUCUUAUAUGCAGAUAUACUUAGAGGUUUGGGAAAUUUUAGAAAUAGGUCUAGAAAAGAUUUGAGCUGGAAAGUCUCAUGUGGGGUGUCUCAAAAUUAUAGUCUGAUGACCAUAAACUGGUCCUUUUUACUUCCCCCAAUCCCCAAACCCUGAUGGCAAGCAGAAUAGAUUUACUAAACAAAUAUUGGAAUUAGGGAAGAUAUCCGACUCUGUACACACCCCAGCAUCUUGGGUUUUUAUCUUAGCAAUACAACCACCACCUUCAUACACAAACAAUAAUCUAUCCUUCUACAAACAAAUAAGACUCCAAAACCCAAAGCAUUAAGAAAAAAAUAAAUUAAGAUAUCUCCAGCUGCCAACCCCUUUGCAAUGUCCAUCUUAGGUAGGCAAAUCCAAGAAUCUAAAAAACUAUGGGGAAAAAACUAACACUUUAUACAUCCCAUUAAUCCAUUCAUUGAUUCUUAAGAAGAAUCUGUCUUUGGGUCAUGUCUGAUGUUACACUGCGCUCUCUUCUCUAGAACUCUGAAUUUCACUCCUGUCUGUGUCAGAAAAUUCCCUCUGUGAUUCAAUUUCUGCACUUCCUCCUUGAUUUCUUCUUCGGUGCCUUCUAUCCUGAACAUCCAGACAAUGAAUGAAUUCAAAUGUUAGCAAAAAAAAAGCUGAUAAAACCAUUCAUCCCUUAGAUGUGGUAAGUUAUGUAGAUUUAGUGUGGUAAAAAAGAUGUGGUAGUUGUUUUAUGUAGACAAUUAUGGGGACGAGUUUUUAUGAGUAGCUUCCAAGUUCUAGAAUUGAUUCUGAGAAAAGAGAAGCUAAUACAAACAUGCUAUUAGCUAUUAGUGUUUUUGAGUUCUUGUAAUUGUUUUCAAUUUCACCAGCUUUUGCAGUUUACUAGAUUAUGACACAUUAAUCGUCAUAUAAAAUUUUGUGCCUACAUAUUUGUAUUCAUAAAUAUCUAGAGGGUUCCAUCAACUUAAUCCACGUGAAAAGAGAGACAAACACAAUUUUAAUAUGAUAAUGUCAUGUGAAGUUUCAACAUGAGAGGGUCAUGAUCCAUUGCUUGGUUCAUCUGACUGGCCAGUUCAAUGUUUUAUACACUCCCAAAAAUUUCAUGCCUUCAGUGGUGUCACAAACCACGGUGGCAUGGUCUGGUCGUUAGCACAUUAGAGGGCAUCAGAAAAAAAAAACAAAGAAAGGGAUAAUAAACAAAACAAGAUUGAGGGUACUCAUGGACGUAGAGUGCAUCAGAAAAACUAUCAAAAUAACCAAGAAAAGUUUGAGAAUUUAAAUCAUGACAAUGUGGGAAAAACAAACCUCUCUUGGUAAAGGAUAUUCCUCUGACUCCAGCAUACGCACAACUUGGCUCAUCUUCACAUCUUAAAGCAGUUAAGAGAGCCCGUUUGAAAGCUCUAGUUGAUGGCUUCACCUCAAUGUUUGGGUCCACCACUUCUUCUGACCUCCUGCUUCCAACCAUCAUCUUCAGCCAAUCAACCAGAUUCACCUAAGAGAAUUGUAGCAUCAUGGCAACGGUCAAUAUCAAUCUAAACCCUUGAUCAGAAGUUGCAGUAUAGAAAUAAGUAACUAAGAACACACAAUUCUUGUUAACAAUGGAGCAAAAGGUUCUGAAGAGGCAUAUUUAUGGCCUUCCACACAAAUUAAUCAUCUGAUAUUAUAUCCAAAAUUUUGAGGAUCACUACUGUCUAUGAUGUUUGAGCAUAUUCAAGCUCGGGAUAAGGUUUAAAAGGGCAGGGUAAUGAUUUUUGCUCAGUAGCAGAGUUCCUCAUAGUAAUAAUAUUAGACGUGGUAGAAUGGUGAGAAGUUAUUACCGUGCAUCGUUCAAUAUAUGCCCCCUUAUCCAUAACAUUAUAUAUGUUGUUAAAAUGGAAGUGGAAGCCAUGAUCACCAGCAAAGCUGAGGUGGUAUACAUUGAAUGGUAUAGAGCAAGAAGCAACUAAAAAAUUCUGGUAGAGUAGUACUGUCUCAUGAUAUUGAAGAACAGACAAACAAGAAGUUACCAGCAUUGUGAAGCAUGUUCGUGCUAUUUUAUUUCCUAUUCUUGAAGGGGUCACUUUAAAAGUCAAUAUUAACUUUCCUAUUAUAGUUUUAACAAGUAGUUGAUUAAAUAAUCUUCCUCUUGUAACAAAAAAAACGGUCAAUUAACUUUCAACCAUAAUGUCCCAAUGAUUUUCUUUUUGCUAGUAUUGGAAAAAAUCAUUAGAGAUCAUAGAUCAAUCAUGCACCACACAAUUGAAAACAGAAUGACAUGGCUAUAUUUAUAAUGUAAAUGGAUCUGUUUUUAAUAGCUUCCGGCUAGAAAUUUUAGCAAUUCUUAUCAUCGAGAUGACUGGCAAAAUGAAGAAGUUUGUCUAUCUGAAAACGAUUUUAAUAUUAGAUGCAGAUGCACAAUACAGCUAUCCAACUUCUUUGCUACGGCAAUUGGCUGAAUGAGUUAAACUUACAGCUAAUGAUGCUUCAGGAUUAUUUGGGGAAUAGGAGAAAACAAAACAUAUAUUUCAAGCAGGAAUUUGAGCCCAAGAUAAAAUUAAGUUUACUCACUUCAUUGGUUGGACGACCAUAGUCAACUGGAUCUCUCCCAGUUAUUCCUUCCAAUAGCAAAACACCAAAGCUAUAAACAUCACUCUUUUCAUUUAGAAGGCCAGUAUUUGCAUAUUCAGGAGCGACGUAUCUGUGAAACAUUUAGAGCAAAAAUGAAUAUAAAAAUAAUUCUCAUCUUCGUUUAGCAUUUGUGUGAAAAGUUUGCUAUUGUUGUGACAAGCGGUGAGUUGCAACCAACAAGUUCAUAUUGGUUUUAUCACUUCACCUGAAAAUGACCAUAUAAAGGAAGAAGCCACCAAAUCCCGUUUCAUGCAAAUGAGUGAACCACACAAACACCCCAAUUGAUUAUUUAAAAUUUUAAUUGAUUAAAAAAUCUCGAAGUGGUUAAGUCUGUGCCAUUCAUGGUUAGUAAAUUACAUUUUUCCAAAUAAAAAAUGUUUGACAAUUUCAUGAGCAGUCCCAGUAAAAAUCUUUAGUUAUGGGAGAGUGAGCUACUUUAUGGGUUUUUCCUUGUCUUAGACUGAUAGUUUGUUCAAAUUGCCAAAGGGAUAUCUUGGCUUGUGCACCUCCUAUACCUUUUCCAACACUUUCUAUCCACACUUCCAUUCAUCCAACCAGAUGAAGAGAGGUUUUCCCAUUUCUCUUUUCUCAUUUCUAUUCAUCCAAACAAUAUAUGAUUUCUAAUUAUCUUCUCUCCAAUCUCAUUCUCUUAUCUCUUUUCUCCUCAGUUCUUUUGUCAGCCAAACCAAGAGUAAAGGGAAGAGACUAAAAAAUACUGACCCAAAGGUUCCCAUAACUCGCGUUGUCACAUGACUCUUCCCAGCACCCAAUAACUUAGCCAGGCCAAAAUCAGAAACCUUAGCAUUGAAAUCAUCAUCAAUUAAUAUAUUGCUUGACUUGAUAUCUCUGUGUACCACCUUUGGCUCAAUUGCUUCAUGCAAAUAUGCAAGCCUGAAACAAGUACAUUGCUUAAGAUGGGGGACUAAGAAAGCCAGAAGAAGUAUAGAUUCAGAGACUCACGCUUUGGCUGUACCAAGGAGAAUCUUGAUACGCGCUUCCCAGGUAAGAUAUCCGUGGUGACGCAUAGCUCCAUGAAGCCAUUGCUCCAAGUUUCCAUUAUUGACAUACUCAUACACUAACAUCCUGAAAAUAUACCAUAUACAGCACAAAGAUAAGUUUCAGGUAACAUGAUUGAGCAUGCAAUUCUUAUUAUGAUCACCAUAUAUUCUGGCAACAAUAAUUGAGUUUUUCUAAGCAGGUUAUUUGGAAUAAUAUAUGUCAAAGAUUACUGUAAUUGAAACUUGGAAUACCUAUGAGUUCCUUCAACACAGUACCCCAAAAGGCGAACCAAAUUUUUGUGUCUAACAUGGCCAAUAGCUUCAACUUCCACUCUGAAUUCCUUCUCUGCUUGACCACUGGUAAACAAUAGAACUUAUGAGUUAAUUUCCUAAGAAUAGAAAGGAAUAAAGACAAAACAAUUAAUAUAACGGAUAGAAAUAUAACAUAAACUCAUUCAUGAGACCAACAACUUAAGCUUUCGAGAUAGUUAGUUCAUGACAUGGUAUCAUAGUCAUAGCAUCUAUGACCAACUGACCUAGAGUUCGGUCAUGAUUUCCCCCAAUUAUUCAAAUAAAAAAGUUGAAUUUCAGCAAAAGGUAGGUAAUUAUAAUCUAAAAUCAUUAAUGUGUGUACUGCCCAAUAGCUUAAGCUUUUGGGAUAGUUGGUUCAUGACGGUAACUAGCUUGGACAUUGUUAUGGAAAUGGAACUCACAUAUUAUUGAGUAUCUUUUUAACUGCCACUGGAGUCCCAUUGAUCAAUUGUCCCUUGUAAACAACUCCAUAUCCACCUUCACCAAGGACAUUGUCUUUUGUAAAACGGCCUGUAGCAAGCUCAAGAUCCCUCAAGGUGAACCAGUGACCCCAACCCAAGUGAGAGAAUUCUGGAAGGCCAUUCAAAGGCGAAGGAGCUGUUAUAGGAUAUGAAGAGUGCUUGUACACAGUAACUGAGCCAGAGCUACCUUCUUCUCCUGAUUGUGAGAGUGACCCACCUCCAUCUUUCUCUAUACUAUGAUGAAAUGAACCUGAAUGACCACUACUAUCCCCAUUCUUCAUCUUCCCCCCCAAACCCAAAUGAACCAUGACUUUGUCUGAUUCCUUAUCACUGGAUUUAUCAUGAAUGGUAAGCAAUAUUCCAUCACGAGGAGCAAAUCCAUUUGUCGGAACGUGCUCGACCCGCACCUCCUUGAUUUCCUUUGACACAGAUGGUAUCUGACUAAGAGGAAUCUUGUUGUCCUUAUUGUCUUUUCUAGAUUUCUUCCUUGAAGUGAGGCAAAGUGAGAACCCAGAGAGGAUGACAAUAAUGGUCAAUCCAACUGCAAUUGCAAUUAUUUCCCAAACCUUAAGACCCCAAAUUGGAGUUUUCUUCAAUAAUUCAGCAUUAAGACUAGAACCCAUUUCCUACAAAGACUUGAAAGUUGAAACCUACAAAAAUAUGCAAUUCAAAGUUCAAACACAUAAUUCAUAGUCAUGCAAAUGCACAAGUUCAUCAAACACUAAUGCACUACACAAAUUGAGAAAACAGGAAACACAAACAUGAAACUAAAAUCAAGUCAAAUGAAACAUGAAGCAAAGUGAAAGCAGAAUACCCAACAAGUGAAUUCUCAGAUCUCAGAAACAGCCCCGUGACAAGCAACGAGGCUGAAACAGAUGAAGGAAACAAAAAGACCAGAUCUUUGAAUCUGGGUAGUUGUUUAUUUAUCAGCAAAAGCAACAAUGUCUAUAUAGGUGAAAAAUCCUUGGAAAUGUGACUGUGAAUGAAACACUGAAUCUAAGGUGAGAAGAGAAAAACAGGAACAAAGGUGGUCGGGGACAUGGAUGGAAAUAAAUGUAAUGUCAGUGACAGUGAUGAAAUGAUGAAGAGGAAGGGGUGGAGUUAUCAGUGGUAGGUGAUGAGUUUCAGAAUUAGAUACCUUCCAAAGCUUAUAAAACAUCCAUUUCUAAUCAUUUUCUUCAUCUCUCAUGAACAUGACCUAUUAUCAGUAAUAAUUUAUAUUUUCCUUUUUUAAAUCUUUUUCAUUAUUAUUUUUUUGUGUGCUUUCAUUAAUUUGAUUUGAUGAUGAUGAAUGAGCUGUGAAUUUACUACUAUAUGUAUCAGCUUGAGCCCGUUGCCCAUUUAUGUGGUCUAAACAUUACUUUGUAUUAGUAUUAUACUUUUGUAUGGACCCAUGUAUAAAAGGAAAAUUGUAAUUUUGUCACGAGUGAUUAUUAUUUCUCAAUCAAAUGAAACUAGGAUAAUCACCCUUAUUUGUCUUAAUAAUUGUGAUCAUAAUAAAAAUAGUAACCGUGAUGAAAAAUAUUUUCUUAAGAUUUUCGGUUCAGAGCAAUGUUAAACAGUUAAAAUAUAUGACAGAAUGAAGUUCGAACAAGCAAGAUAUUUAAAAGUAAUCAUAGAUAUCAUGAAAAUAAAUAGAGAGGAGAAAAAGAGAAACGAACUUUGUUACAUGACGAAAACAUCUUAACAUUGGUCGUGUGAUUUUAAUGUCAUAUUACUAGUGCAAAAUAACAUUUUGAUUUAGUUAAUUACAUGUUUACUCCCUUAGAGCAUCUUCAAUGCUAGUUCUUAGUUCUUAGCACUAUUCAUCCGGUCCCACAAUACCAUUAUAUUAAUAUUUUUUAUUUCUAUAUAAUUUUGAUUUGAAUUUAAAUGUUAACUCAAUACUUAAAUUAAAUGAAUGAGAGAGAAAAAAUUAAUUGUUUAUGCUAAUAACUUAUUUUUAAGAACUAAGAACUCCACGUCAGCACCUCAGUGGUUAAGAACUCAGUUCUUAGUUCUUAACUAAAAAAUAAGAACUAAAAACCUUGCAUUGGAGAUGCUCUUAUAACUUUUUUUGAACGUUACUCCCUUAUAACUGAGAAAACCCUAGUACAGUGUGGAUGAAAAUCAAAUAAAAAAAUACCAACAGUCAUGGAACUAUUUGGUAAACAAUUGAGUCACUUAAGUAUUUAAUAUUUAAUUGUAUGUAUAAAAAUAUUCUAUUAAAAGAGAUAAAAUUCACUUUAAUAAUCUUUGCAUAUUAAAAGGCUUGAUUUCCAAUGAUCAAUUGGGCUAAUGCUCAACAAUUGUGGCAUGCACAAUUGUGAUUGAUUGGCGUGAUAAAUAUUUAUCCACAUUUAAAGGGUGUUUAAAAGCCAUAAUGGAUAAAGAAAAUGAUACUAACUGAAUAUAAUUAUAAUUUAAUAUGUCUAUAAUUAACUAGCUAAAGAUUUUCACUCAACUUUUUUAUAGAUUGGAAACUAAAAACAACAAGAAAGUAAAAGAAAGAAGGCCUAGUCAUUCUCUAGCAUGUGAAUGACCUAUUUUAGAAGAGUUCAUCACGUUUUCAAACUCAAUUUAUUAGUUAACCUCAUUCUAGCAAGUACAUCUCCGGGUUUGUUUCACUCCAUUAGAACACUUGUUGGAUCAACACUUGCGCUUCUGCUAUGUAGAACGCACAAGCAUGAAGGUUGAGUGAAUCUUGACUUAUAAGACUGUUUACCACGUUCAAGUAGUCAAUCUCACAAACAAUUUUCUGCGCACCGGAACGUCACGCCCAAGAGAGAUCGUGGAUAACAGCCAAAAUCUUGGCUAGAUAAACAUCUUCAAUUCUCUCAAAAUUAGAAAACGAAUUAUCUAAGCUCCAUGAUGAUCGCGCAACAAGCUGCCACAACGACAAACAUCUAUUAAAACUAUCACCCGUGUCCAGUUUAACCCAACACACAAGAGGUGCAUGCCAAGUUCAUAUUUCUUUUUAUAGAAAAUACAUAUUAUUUUUUAAAGAUCAUUUAUAAAAUAAGAGUUUUUCUAUUCUAUACAAGAGCGAAUAAUUUUUCUCAUAAAUCUCUUUAAAUUAAUUUACAAUUUUCACCGGAAAUAUCAACAAGAGGAUUACAACUUGAGCUUGAAUCUCCUCUAACUAUUCAUUAAGAAAUUAAAAAGGCUUACUAAAAUGGUUUAGAAAAAUAAGAGAAGAGAGAAAGCAUGAGUGGGAAUGGGUUCCCCACAUUCACUAAUCUCUUGAAUUCACAAAAUUUAAGUCAUAAGAUUAAGAUCAGUCGACUCAUAUUCUUCAUUAAAGUCUGAUAGUAGAGAUACAUACAAUUUAAGUUGUCCGAGAACGACAAAAAUUCAUUUACUAUGUGAAUUUAGGGAAUUAUCAAACUUCACCAAUCCAAAUUCAAUACACGAUAUCAAGCUUAUAACCAUGACUUAAUCUAUGUUAAGAGUAUCUCAAUCCCUGGUUCUUAGAGGUUGGUUUUUAGGUUAAGAACUAAAAACUAAGUUCUUAGGAUCUAUUUGAUUGUAGUUUUCAGUUUUUAAAACAAUUUUGAUAAAAAAAAAGUUUAAAAACAGUUCUCAGAAGAAGAAAACAGUUUGAAUGACAUGUUUUCCAAGAUUUAGAAAAUUGAUACCUGAAAACAAAAAACAGAAACUGAAAACAUCUUUUAUCUGUUUUGAAAAUGAGAAUUGUUUUCAAAAACAGUUUUUAAAAACAUGUCGUAUCAAACAGGUUUUCAAAACUAUUUAAAAAACUGCAAACAAACAAGCCCUUAAGCAUUAGAGUUCUUAGUUCUUAAAACUAAGAAUCAGGUCUUGUAUAAGCAAAUUUGCUUUAUGAAUUCUUAGCAUACACAAAUAUUUUUUUCUCUUAUUCAAAUUGUUUUAUUGCUUUAUGAGUUUUGCUUUAUUGUUUUAUGGAAAUAAAAAUAUAUAUAAAUAAUGCGGUGUUGUAAGACCAGAUAAAUAAUGCUAAAAACUCAAAGUUAAGAAAGUCAUGAUUGAAAUAAAAUUUACGUAUAUCAGCUGCUUAUGAGUUGCUUAGAGUUUAUGUGACACUUCAGACCCACAUAAAUAGUGCUAAGAACCAAAAGUAAAGAUGUUAGAAAUGAAAAUGCUCUAACAAACUGAAUUAGCUAAAUAACAACCCUAACCGGUUCUAACAACUUAAUUACUAACUUGCACAAAAGUGACUUAGAAAGUUUAUAAAUAAGCGAAAAGCAGAAGCUUGGAAACCCAAAAAAAAAAAGAAAUCACAGAUUGAAAAAUCAAGGAACAAGCUUUGUAUCUCCUCAACCUCCCAUGUCCAUAUUAAAUUAUUAAUCAUCAAGUACUUCAGCCCCACAGUCAAUGCAACACCUUGCGAGCAUGGCCAGUCUAGAUUUCUUCCUAGAAGUGUGGCAACAGAGGAUGACUAUAAUGGUCACAAUAUUCCAACUGCAAUUGCAAUUAUAUAUUUCCCAAACCUUGAGACCCAAAACUAUAGUAGCUAGUAGUUUUAUUGGAUGUUUCAAGCAUUAAGAUUAGAACUCAUUUCCUACAAAACAUGCAAUAUAAACAGAGAUAAGCACUUCAUUCAUAUAAAUGCACAUGUUCAUCAAACACUUGUGCAUUACACAAAUUGGGAAAACAGGACACACAACAUGAAGCAAUGUGAAAACUGACAACAGAAUACUUGUUUUACAACAAGUGCACAUUCUUAUGCAUGCUUUCAUUGGUGAAAAAAAAAAUACCGACGUCUUGAUUUGUUAGAAGUCUCGUAGGAACGGGUAAAAUCCCGAUCAAGUUUAGUACGGCUAGGUUAGGAAAAGGUAAAAAAAAAAAAACAAGUUAAAUUGGUAGAAGUUUUCUCAUAGCCAUUAAUUGAAAAGAAAAUAUAACUUAAUUAUAGAGGAAAAUAACUAGAUUUUUUAUAGGCAAAUGUUAGUGGUUAAUAAUGUUAGUAAAUUAGUCCUCCUUUUACUCAAAAAAAAAAAAAAUAGUCCUCCUUAAAGUUCGAAUCUUGGACCCUUCACCAUUUACCCUCUCAAACCCUUAUGUCCCAUAACUCUUACCACUUUAGCAAACAUUCGGGGACGGAAAAUAACUAGACUAAUUAAUUAGGAUCAGAAUUACUGAAUAUCUGAACUAAAUAUCUAUGAAAUAACAACAAUUAACUGAAUCAAAUAACUCAGAUAUUGUCUAGAAAUAAAGUAACUAGAUAUAAUUCUAAAUUAAUUAGAUAUUAUAUUAAGAAAUUCAACUAUAUCUAUUUGUGUUAUAUCUUAUUGAUUAUUUUAUGCUAAUUUUGAACCCUAUUGUUAGUUAAUAUUGUGAAAACAAUAUUGGUGAGUCCCCGGAUCAUAACUCAAGUGAUAAGAAUUAUGAAAUAUAUAAAUUGAAAUAAGAAUGUCCUAAGAUCAGCAGUUUAUGUACCCGCGGACGAUUUGACUGAUUCCGCCCCCGUCACGACAUUUGCACAUUUAGAUGCUACUACUGUACUAUCAAGAGAUUAGCUGCCAAUCUCUCGCGAUAUAAAAAAAAUAGCAUUGGUGAACAGGCUGUAAGUAGAAGAGUUUUAUCGACGGAAACAAGCUCACAACUCGAACAAUAUAACAGUUGGCAAGAUGACGAUGUUUUUGACCCACAACGUGGACUUGACAUGUAGGAAACAAUGAAACUCGUAUGUAUGAAUUUGACAAUUCAUUUGGUUAUAAAUAUUUAUUUAAGAUAUAUUAGUUCAUGAAAUUAAAAUUAAAAUGUCAUGUGUUUUGAAAAUAUUUUUGAAUUUGAAUUAAAUGGUUGUGCAAAAUCCAAUUAAUUUCCUCCAAAUCAGAAUUUUUUUUUAAUUAAUACAUAGACCAGUCCCUGAGUGUAACAUUGUUUACACUGACAGUGCAUAUCCAUUAUAUACUCUUUUAAUUUCUUGUUGUUGUUUCCUAUAUUUAAAAAGAAAAACUAGCCAUUCAUUAAUAAUAAUAAUAUAAGUUUUUGUGGUAAUUUUGUUAAUAUUAUCUUUAAAUUUUGACAUAUGCAUGAUGACUACAAACAUUGCGUGCUUGCAAGUGUUACUCAAAAAUAGCUAUGCAAAUAGCAUUACCUAUUACAGGGGCCACGUUUAUGAUAUAUCUGAGAAAUCAUUGCUGGCAGUCUGGUAUUAUUGGUCUAUCUUAUUUCCAGCACCUGACAUCCGUUCUAUACAUAAUGUCUUUGGGACCACACUUUCUGGAUGGUUAGACCAAUUAUCCUCAACUCAAAAAUGCAUUUUUCUAGUCAGAAAUAUCCUCAUUUUCCUGGGAUUAUUUCUUCCAAUAGAGUUUUCUCAUAUAUACAAUACAUGAACCAAAUAUAUCUAAUGCUACAGUCAAUCAUUCACUAAUACUACCUAGCAUCCAUAUUUGAUUUAUACACUUAAAAUUUUCAAAACCAUAUUUCCCUGCAAAAGUUACUAAAAAUAGUUUCUCUCAUGAUCAAUUUUCAUCUAAUGUGAAAAUCUAUCAAAUUCCUAAACACACAUAAAGAGCAUUUUACUGAUUCAAUCACUCUCAUAAGAGCUUAGUGAAACAUGUUAAUUACUAUAGGCUUAUAAACUUUACUCUAAAGUCUAAAUCUAUGAGAUUAUUAUGAUUAGUAAGGAUAGUUAGAUAUGCAGAUAAUGCAGAUAUCCAACAUACACCACAUUUUUUUCUAUUUCUUUAAUAAUUAUCACACAUAUUACUUCUUCUUUUUUCUUUUCUUUUCAUACUCUAGGUAUCUGUUGAAUGUCUGCACUGACUAUAUGAAUAUUUGCAUAUAUCAUUUUCCUAUUACAAUAUCGUUUUCCUAUUUUAAGAGCUUGUGUUAGAAGAAAACUUGCACUUUAUAACAUGAUGAUCCAUCAAUUUUCCCCUACGAAGAAAAAGAAGAGUUAGUCAAUUAUUAAGUCCGUGAGGGGCUGCAUGCCUUCUCUCUCUUUUAUGGGCAGAUACAUUGACUGGUGCCCAAAGUUCAAUUUAAUAAUGAAAGGCACAGACUUAUAUAUGCUCCCCAAUACCUCAAGUCCCAAGUUAGGCAUAAGGGUAGCCAUGACGACCUAAGAAACCGUUGCACUACAUGAAGACAACAUACAUUAUAUUAUUGGUGUGAAUAAUAGACGACCAAGGAAGAAACCUUAACUUUUUGUUCAAUAGUGCCUGGCCCAAUUCAAUGUAGAGAAAGUGGUUAUAUAUAGGGAAAAUCUAGUAGGUGGAAAUGUGUGGAUGCUACAAAUUAAUUAAAGGGGGCACCGAUCAAAAUGGUUAAUUCAAUUAUAUAUCUGUUUCUGAGCCUUGUGAACUGAUUAUUAAACAGUUGAUGUAUAUGUUUGGUUGAAAUUAAAGUUGCAAGAAGGUCUUGAAUUCUUUCACGCGUGCAGUUGAUGUAUAUGCUAAUUGCCGAUCGAACUAAACAUCUCAAUCACAAAUCAUGCUUAGCUUUACUUGCAAGAGGAGUGCAUACGCUGACUACUAUUCUCAAAUUUUUUAUAUUUGUUUUUGUAAGGAAUAAGGAUUUUGAAUAAAAAUCCUUUUAAAGAGUUCAUAAGCUUAAUGACAAACAACAACCAAUGUGAAGUUGAAGUAAUUAACUUUUUUUUAUACCUAAAUUUGACAUAUUUAACUACCUUCAACAAGUGAAAAGAGUUCAUUGAUUAGCGGGUGUUUGUUUCUGAGUCAAACCCACUUGUGUUAACUUUGAAUGCAAUUUUUUAACCUAUAAAAAAAAUUCAAAAUGUGACACUUUAUUCCAUAAGUUUAUUUUAUUUUUUGAAAUUUUCCAUAAAAUUAAUUGUAUAUACCUUUUUUAUUUACAUCUUUGAACAAAUUACUUCUAAAAUGAUCAACAACAACCACAAAUUACAUCUUUAAACCAAUGUCUCCUUUUUUUUGUUGCAUAUUUAGUAUCCAUCUGAUAUUAUUCACCUUCAAAAUGAGUUUCUGUUGAGAGAUUUUUCUACACUGAUACUACUUUCAAAAUCAUCAAGAUUCAAUUGUAGUAUAGCAUAGGGUUUUUAUCGUCCUCAGGGAAUUGGAAAUACAACGCCGUUCUUUAGCUAAAUUACUUAAGCAACGAGUUCAAGAAGCGUUUGGUUGAUUGUUUUGAGAAAAGUUGUGGACAUAAAACAGUAAUAAAAACGGGUUUAAAAACAGAUUGAGAAAGCUGUUGGGAUUGGGGUUCACACAUCAACUCUCAUAUAUCCUAUAAUUCAACACAUACAACCUAUUCUAUCCUUGACUUCAUCACAUCAGUUCUUAUCUAUCUCAUUAAUUUCUUACAUGAGCAGAUUAACGAUUCACUUCUCUAAUUAUCGAUGUCUCGCAUAACUAACGAAGCAAAACGUAAUGAGUUCAGAUGUUAAGCGACUAAUAAACCUAACCCUAUGUCUAGCAAUCAGGUAAAUUAGAUGAUACAACCUAAAUCUAAUUCAAAUAUGUAGCUUUCACUCACAUAUCAAAUCUCAAAUCAUGUUCUAGUUGAUCAAGCUAAAACAAGCAUAAAAAUCAAGAUCAUAUCAUUGAAAUCAAGAGAUAAACUAGAUUCAUAUGAAAGAGAACUAAGAUGGAUACAUUUAAGUCAAGUAUUACACCCAAACCCAACAAAGAAACUUAGCAACCCAUAUCCAUGGAUUGCUUACAAAGCUUACAAGAGGAAACUAAGGUGAAAGCGGUGACCCGUGCCGUCCUCGGUGUGUCUCCAGCACGAUGGAUGGUGGAUCAAAGCUCCCAAAGUUCCUUUCCUUCUUCUCUAUGCAAUUUUCUCUCUAAGAGGUCCAAAAUAUGUCAAGAGAUGCCUCAAUUCUGAUCUGGUCGAGCCUUUUAUAAAACAGGGCAACAGUUUCGCUUAAGCUGAUAAAGGUGUCGCUUAAGCGAGCAGGUUUCUUCACCUUCAGGUAAGGUCUUUGGCUUAAGCGAGACCAAUUCUCGCUUAAGCCGAAUUGUCUUCCAAAACCAUUGCUGCUGCCAUGUAAUUUGGCUUAAGCGAGGAAACAUUUGGCUUAAGUGGACUUCAAUAUUUUUAGCCCUUUUGAUCUUCAAAUGGUUGGAUCUUCUUGACUUUUCUCCUACAAUAAAAACCAAAGAGUCUAAAUGAUAAAACUAACAUAUCUUACAUUUAUCUAUAUAAAAACUAUAUACUUACUAAAUUAACCUUAUAGAGAGAUAAUUUGAAAGAUAACGUACACAUUUAGAACAGAUAAGUGCCGAAAUUAAUAUAGAAAAUCAGGUAAAUUUGGCACUUAUCAAAUAUAUGAUUUUUAAAAUUUAAAAUCAUAUGAAAAUCCUAUAAGAAUGAUCAGUGUGAGCAUAUACCUUAGCGAAGAAGAUUAAUGUCGAUCAUGUAGCCGACACAACGCUUUAAAAUUAAGAAAAAUGUCACUAAAUGACAUCGUCAGCCAAGACGAACCCUAAUGACAUUAGCUAACACUUAAAUGGCGCUACAUGUUUUUAAAAUGUUGUGUCAGGUUGACAGACACUAACAUCAUUNNNNNNNNNNNNNNNNNNNNNNNNNNNNNNNNNNNNNNNNNNNNNNNNNNNNNNNNNNNNNNNNNNNNNNNNNNNNNNNNNNNNNNNNNNNNNNNNNNNNNNNNNNNNNNNNNNNNNNNNNNNNNNNNNNNNNNNNNNNNNNNNNNNNNNNNNNNNNNNNNNNNNNNNNNNNNNNNNNNNNNNNNNNNNNNNNNNNNNNNNNNNNNNNNNNNNNNNNNNNNNNNNNNNNNNNNNNNNNNNNNNNNNNNNNNNNNNNNNNNNNNNNNNNNNNNNNNNNNNNNNNNNNNNNNNNNNNNNNNNNNNNNNNNNNNNNNNNNNNNNNNNNNNNNNNNNNNNNNNNNNNNNNNNNNNNNNNNNNNNNNNNNNNNNNNNNNNNNNNNNNNNNNNNNNNNNNNNNNNNNNNNNNNNNNNNNNNNNNNNNNNNNNNNNNNNNNNNNNNNNNNNNNNNNNNNNNNNNNNNNNNNNNNNNNNNNNNNNNNNNNNNNNNNNNNNNNNNNNNNNNNNNNNNNNNNNNNNNNNNNNNNNNNNNNNNNNNNNNNNNNNNNNNNNNNNNNNNNNNNNNNNNNNNNNNNNNNNNNNNNNNNNNNNNNNNNNNNNNNNNNNNNNNNNNNNNNNNNNNNNNNNNNNNNNNNNNNNNNNNNNNNNNNNNNNNNNNNNNNNNNNNNNNNNNNNNNNNNNNNNNNNNNNNNNNNNNNNNNNNNNNNNNNNNNNNNNNNNNNNNNNNNNNNNNNNNNNNNNNNNNNNNNNNNNNNNNNNNNNNNNNNNNNNNNNNNNNNNNNNNNNNNNNNNNNNNNNNNNNNNNNNNNNNNNNNNNNNNNNNNNNNNNNNNNNNNNNNNNNNNNNNNNNNNNNNNNNNNNNNNNNNNNNNNNNNNNNNNNNNNNNNNNNNNNNNNNNNNNNNNNNNNNNNNNNNNNNNNNNNNNNNNNNNNNNNNNNNNNNNNNNNNNNNNNNNNNNNNNNNNNNNNNNNNNNNNNNNNNNNNNNNNNNNNNNNNNNNNNNNGAUCAUUUUUUUGUGCAAAAUAGUAUAUGCAUAGUUUUGUCCUCAUUAGCUGUUACAAAGUUUCUCUGCUAGGGCACAACUCAUAGAGCAGCCGCCACCCCCCAUUUGGGGGUCUCCUCCCCCAUUGGGGGGUUCCCCUUCUCCUCUAGGGAGAUCUUUUCUUCUGCUUGGUAGAUGUUUUCUCCCACAAUAGGUGGGUUCUCUUCCACUCUAGGUGGAUCUUUACCCAAAUAAGUGGGUUUUGCUUUCUCUUCUGUGUGUUUUUGCCCCUCUUCGUCCACCAUGUCCCCUACUACCACCAUCCCUGACCACCGUGCCACAUCUGCGACGAGGCCACCAGCACCACCAGCCACUUCCUUGUCCACCGUCCGCCCUUUCCACAAGACAUGUCACCGCGUCUUUCCCCUCUGCCUUGCCACUUGCUCUGCAGCCGCUUUUUUCUCCUCUUGCAACCAUGACCGCUUGAUCUUCCCUCAUGCAACUGUCUCCUUUGCUCUGUGACCACCAGAUCCGCCCUUCUACAACCGUCUCUGCCGCUGGGUCUCGCCGCUGCCGCCG
rnacentral:lncRNA from 1 species